ACGCGUACUAGCAAACACCUCGCA
rnacentral:siRNA from 1 species